rnacentral:rRNA from 1 species
UACGGAGGGUGCAAGCGUUAUCCGGAUUUACUGGGGUUAAAGGGUGCGUAGGUGGGCAAGUAAGUCAGUGGUGAAAUCUCCGGGCUUAACCCGGAAACUGCCAUUGAUACUAUUUGUCUUGAAUACUGUGGAGGUCAGCGGAAUAUGUCAUGUAGCGGUGAAAUGCUUAGAUAUGACGUAGAACACCAAUUGCGAAGGCAGCUGGCUACACAAAUAUUGACACUGAGGCACGAAAGCGUGGGGAUCAAACAGG